UUCUAAGGCCCAAGGAGGAAGGCAUGCUGUGGGCUCUCGCCCUCCUUCUAGCUUUCCUGGCUCCUGCCACUCAGGUAUCUUCCAACUUGGAAGGGAAACAGAUGUCACUCACCAGACAAGCUGGGUUGUCUGCUGUAAUCACUUGUGAUAUUGAACAUACCAGUAACUACAUCCACUGGUACCAAUACCAGGAGGGGAUGGCCCCACGACGACUUCUCUACUAUCAGGUCUUCAGCUCAAAUGUUAUGGUAGAAUCCGGAAUCACUUCAGGGAAAUACCAUGCUUAUGGAGGCACAGGGAGGACCUGUAAAUUUUCACUUGAAAAUCUAGAAGAAAGUGAUUCUGGUGUGUAUUACUGUGCUGUCUGGGAAAAUUAUUAUACAAAACUCCUUGGUGAUGGAACAAAACUUGUCAUCAUUGAUAGACGCCUUCCUGCAGACAUUUCCCCCAAGCCCACCAUUUUUCUUCCUUCGCUUGCUGAAAUAAACCUCCAUAAGGCUGGAACGUAUCUUUGUCUUCUUGAGAAUUUCUUCCCUGAUGUUAUUAACAUAUAUUGGAAAGAAAAGAAUGGCAAAGCAAUUCUAGAAUCCCAGCAGGGAAAUACCAUGAAGACUAAUGACACAUACAUGAAAUUCAGCUGGCUGACCGUCACUGAAAAGUCAGUGGAUAAGAAACACAAAUGCAUCGUCCAACACGAGCACAAUAAAGGAGGGGUUGACCAAGAGAUUAUUUUUCCUUCAGUGAUUGAAGUUCUCAUCUCAAUUGUCACUGCUGUUCAUCCUACAAAGGCUUCUCCAAAAGAUGAAAACAAGAUCCCUGCUAUUAAUUCUACAAGAGCUGUUCUCAAUGAUGAAAGUCACCCCCUGCAGCUGCAGCUCACCAGCACCUCUGCCUAUUACACCUACCUGCUUCUUCUCCUCGCCAGCGCGGUCUACUUUGCCAUCAUCAACUUCUGUCUGUUUAGGAGAACAGCAGACUGUGGCAAUGGAAAGAGUUUGCAACAGUCGGUGGCACAAAGAAGUCAACUGUCAACUUGUCUUCUUCGUUUAUUUCCUUAAAAGUGUCUCCUGAGGAUCUAGGUAGACUUUCUUUCUAGGUUUGCAUUAUUUCAGUUCACCUGUGUAUUUUUCUAUAAAGUCAAUCUUACAAAAUGGUAUUUUAAACCACUGAACAUACAGAAAAUCUUACUCUGUAACAACAAUGAAUUCGGUCAUUACUGAGGGGCAGGGCCACAGGGUUGUCCUUUAACACCAUUCUCUCCAUGAUCUCCACCAGUUCCUCCAGCAACCCAAAUAGCCAUGCCUUCUGAGUACAGACAGCAAGCAGCUUCUAGUCGCAUAGCUUAGGGCCAUUUAAGCAGAACUACUUUGAAGCCUUCCAUUUUGGACACCCUGAACACAACAC